AUUCCAGUAGCACCUUAGAGACCAACUAAGUUUGUUCUUGUUAUCUUUCGUGUGUAUGCGCACGAAAGCUUAUACCAAGAACAAACUUAGUUGGUCUCUAAGGUGCUACUGGACA
rnacentral:miRNA from 1 species